UGGCUCAGUUGGUAGAGCAUGGUACUUGCAAAACUAGGGUUGUGGGUUCUUUUCCCAU
rnacentral:tRNA from 1 species